GACGAACGCUGGCGGCGUGCUUAACACAUGCAAGUCGAACGGAGCGAAUGAAAGCUUGCUUUUAUAAGCUUAGUGGCAAACGGGUGAGUAACACGUAGACAACCUGCCGACAGGAUGGGGACAACAUUCCGAAAGGAAUGCUAAUACCGAAUGAAGCGGAGGAGAGGCAUCUCUCCUCCGUGAAAGAUGGCCUCUAUAUAUAAGCUAUCACCUGUCGAUGGGUCUGCGUCUGAUUAGCUGGUAGGUGAGGUAACGGCUCACCUAGGCGACGAUCAGUAGCCGGUCUGAGAGGAUGAACGGCCACAUUGGGACUGAGACACGGCCCAGACUCCUACGGGAGGCAGCAGUGGGGAAUCUUCCGCAAUGGGCGCAAGCCUGACGGAGCAACGCCGCGUGAGUGAAGAAGGUCUUCGGAUCGUAAAGCUCUGUUGAUGGGGACGAACGUGCCUAAUGCGAAUAGUUUUAGGC
rnacentral:rRNA from 1 species